UGUAGGUAUGUCACACUGAGAAGUGGU
rnacentral:piRNA from 1 species